GGAGAUAUAGCUCAGUAAUAGAGUGCGUGCUUAGCAUGAAUGAAGUCCUGGGUUCAAUCCUCAGUACCUCCA
rnacentral:tRNA from 1 species